rnacentral:rRNA from 1 species
AAUUUUGGACAAUGGUGGAAACCCUGAGCCAGCCAGCCCGCGUGUAUGAUGAAGGCCUUCGGGUUGUAAAGUAUGUUUGGCAGAGAAGAAAAGGUAUCCCCUAAUACGGGAUACUGCUGACGGCAUCUGCAGAAUAAGCACAGGCUAACUACGAGCUCGCACCCGCGGUAAUACGCAGGGUGCAAGCGUUAAGCGGAAUUACUGGGCGUAAAGAUUGUGUAGGCGUGUCGGAAAGAAAGAUGUGAAAUCCCAGGGCUCAACCUUGGAACUGCAUUUUUGACUGGCGAGCUAGAGUAUGUCAGAGGGGGGUAGAAUUCCACGUGUAGCAGUGAAAUGCGUAGAUAUGUGGAGGAAUACCGAUGGCGAAGGCAGCCCCCUGGGAUAAUACUGACGCUCAGACACGAAAGCGUGGGGAGCAAACAGG